rnacentral:rRNA from 1 species
CUUACAACCGGAAGGCCUUCUUCAUAACACGGCGGCAAGCCUGAUGCAGCGACGCCGCGUGCGGGAUGGAGGCCUUCGGGGUUGUAAAACCGCUUUUUGUUCAAGGGCAAGGCAGGCUUUCGGGCCUGUUGAGUGGAUUGUUCGAAUAAGCACCGGCUAACUACGUGCC